GCAUCCAUCCACAUCGUGUCCAUCUUGCAGUUCCAGGCUGAGCUGAUUUCUUGAGUGCUCUGCCCUCCCUGGAACUUCUCAAACAUGUGUUCCAGGCCAGGCAUGUGGCCUGGAGCAAGACCCUAGGGCAUCGUGUCCUAUUUUUUCAUUGAUCCAUGCGAAUAAGUCCCACAUGAACACGCCCCCAGGGAAGGCACACCGUAAAUCUAGCCAGCCAACCACAAGAUCACUGGACGACAUCAAUACAUGGAUAGAUGAACAAGAAACAAGUACUCACUCCGUACUAGUACUAGAUGAUCUCACUGAAGAAAGAAACUUGUUUUUCUCUUCAGAUAGAGAAAUAAAAUACUACUACUAACAAGAAGCUUUAGUGCACGAGCAAGAAAAAAGUGAGGGAGCCUUUUUUUCUUGUCCUCGCUAGCUAGUGAUAUAUGUAUAUAAUAUAGAAACCCAUGCAUCAUGCACUCAAAGGCACACAUGUAUACCCAUCCUGCCUGCUGAAGAAACAAACUCUUCAUGUGUAGUGAUUUUUUUCUUCUUUCUUUCUUUCCUUCACAUUCCAGUAGUGAUUUUUUUGUCCCUGCCUGCACAAUUUGUGUCUUGAUCACGCCAUGUUUCACAAGGGAGGGGCAAGCGCAUAGAUACACAGAUAGAUUUAUCCAUGCGGUGAAUUCUUACAGCACUAAAUUCUUACAGCCAUACUGUAGUAGUACUGUUUUUUGUUCACGCGAGCUGUUGGAUUUGUAGCAGUAGCAGUGAUGAUUCAGAGUUUGAGACAAUGCCUCCACGCACUAGGAUGAGGUGAGGGUCCAAUGCCUGCACGCAUGAGUGACAUUGACGCGGCCUGCCUAGAUUAGGCAACCAGAUUGAUUAUGAUAGUACUGUAAGUAUUACUGACACAAACCUGCAUCUACCCAAGAUUCAGACAGAUUUCAUUUCUUUUUUUGUAGCAGCAUGCAGCGUGUCCUGAACCACCUGCACAAUUUUCAUUUCUUCAGUGUGUCCACCCGCAUCUGCGCAAGUUUCAGACAAAUUUCUUGAGUGCCCUACGUGUUGUGUUGCCUGAAUUCGUUUCCGUUCCAUUGCAUUCCACCACCACUCGAGAAUAAAAGCUUUAUAUUCAUGAUCCUGCUCCACCACUUGAAAUAAAAGCCUCUGUUCGAUCAAAAAAAUAAAAGCCUGUGCAGUGUUAGAUCAAAAAAAUAAAAGCCUGUGCCAUAUACAAGAAUGGCCGACAUAGAGAGAGAGAAUUCAUUUCCUCUCCGCAGAAUUACAUAUGACAUACAGAGUGACAUUGGUCCUUGUUAAUCACCACUAUAGUAGUAGUAAUUAUUGCACACAGAGUGGUCCUUUUUUAUCUUCAAAUGGCAGUAUGUGUAGGAUUCAAUAGGGGCUGCUAGUGGUUUAGUAUUAAUAUAUGUACAUCAAUGUUCAGAAUCGGCUAAGCAAGUGCAUAGUCUGCACCGUGAUUGGCAAUCGUGCAUGAUGCUACAAGCUUUUAGAAUAACAGCGGUUCAUGGAGUAAUAUGCUUUGGACUGCUGUUGUGCCUCCUGGGAUUCAGCUUUUUUGUGGCCUCGUAACUUGCUUCCUGGACUAGCAAUUCAGGACUACUAGCGUUUUGCUUGCGGUGUUCUCGGUUCAGGACUGUGAUUUCCAAUUGUGCACGACGCCACAAGCUUUUAGAACCAUAGUGAGUCACGCGGAAUCUUAUCUGGGCUGCUGGUGUCUCCUGGGAUUCAGACUUAGAAUGACUCAGAAAAGCAUAUCGGCAGCUGGUCAUCUAUUCUUUGUCCUCCUGAUAUAUGUUUGGAUGUUAGAUGGUUCAUGCAUAUUUCUGUCUACUUCUUCUAGAAUUAUUGUGUUACCUAGAUUCCAAAACCACUUCAACAUAGAUGGCAUUGUGAACAUGAAACUGAAUACAGAACUUACCCUCUCUGUUUUCAUUUCGUUUUGGAAAAUCACAGGUCUCUAGAAGUAGUCUGCAGGGGACCUCUAGUACUAGUGUUUUUUCUUUGCAGAUGAGCAUGUUGUUUGUUCAUCUGUGAUUCGUCCUUGAACUCCUAAAACUUCUGAUGAGAAGAAUGUUAGUAGAUGCACAUUUUAUCUGCUUCUGCUAGUUUUCAUGUGUCCGGUCUUGCCUUUUCGGAGCCUCUACAAGAGGUUUUGUUUGUAGAAAAGUAUAGUUGACUGUCCAUCUACUCCCUCCGUUCCAAAAUAGAUGACCCAGCUUUGUACUAACUUUGUAUUAAAGUUAGUAUAAAGUUGAGUCAUCUAUUUUGGAACGGAGGGAGUAUUUGUUUGUAGGAAAGUAUAUCUGACGGUCAGUUAAGCAUAGAUGCACAUUUUUCCUAUUGUUUUAGUGAUAACAUAAUAAAUAGAUGGAUUGGUUCUACAAGAGAUUUUAUCUGUAGAAAAAAGCAUAUAGGCUGCCUGUUCAUUUAUUGUUUGAACUGAAACAUCCUGAUGUCCUGAUAAGUUUGGAUGUUAGAUGGAUACAUGCUUCUAUCUGCUUCUUCUAGAAUUACUGUGUUACCAAGAUUCCAAACUUCUUAGUGUAGCAUUGUAGCUUUAUUUUUACAUGGUCAAACUACCUUCUGUAUGCAGUAUGCAACAACACUAUGUUGUAUAUCUUCAGUAGUAAAUGUAUCAUCUUAAGAGUGUACUGAAGCUAGAUUAUUUUGUAGCUCAUUUUUUAUGCUCUCUCCAUGGUUAAUAUAAAUUAUGCAAAACAAUGUUUACUAUGAGUGUAACUCUAGUGCUAUUCUUAUUAUUCAAUGUACAUCGAUGGUGCUGCUGGACAUGUGCUAGUCAGAGGGGAGAAAGCUAAGAACCUUGGCCUUUAAGUUCUUGCAAGGAUUAGAGGGUAUGUUGGUGCUGCUCAGGGGUGAUCGACGUGGACUACCGCGACCUGGUGGGCAUCGUGUUCUUCAACCACUCGGAGGCGGACUUCAGCGUGAAGCCCGACGAUCGCGCCGCACAGAUGAUCGUCCAGGUCAUUGCGACGCCGGAGGUCGCCGAGGUGGAGGACCUCGACGCCACCGUCCGCCGCGAGGGACUGCUCGGAUCCACCGACGUUUCAACUCAGAAACUUUGUAGAUACAUCUAGGGAAGUGGUCUAGUCGUUUAUUUGCACUGGACGUGUCUUGAUUUCCAUCCAUGAUCUCGAGUUGAGAUGUUCAAUGUUGUAUCCAUGAAUGUUGCAGGUGCUAAGAUGGUUCUGUGAACUUA